rnacentral:rRNA from 1 species
CCUACGGGCGGCUGCAGUGGGGAAUAUUGCACAAUGGGCGCAAGCCUGAUGCAGCCAUGCCGCGUGUGUGAAGAAGGCCUUCGGGUUGUAAAGCACUUCCAGCGGGGAGGAAGGCGUUAAGGUUAAUAACCUUGGCGAUUGACGUUACCCGCAGAAGAAGCACCGGCUAACUCCGUGCCAGCAGCCGCGGUAAUACGGAGGGUGCAAGCGUUAAUCGGAAUUACUGGGCGUAAAGCGCACGCAGGCGGUCUGUCAAGUCGGAUGUGAAAUCCCCGGGCUCAACCUGGGAACUGCAUUCGAAACUGGCAGGCUAGAGUCUUGUAGAGGGGGGUAGAAUUCCAGGUGUAGCGGUGAAAUGCGUAGAGAUCUGGAGGAAUACCGGUGGCGAAGGCGGCCCCCUGGACAGAGACUGACGCUCAGGUGCGAAAGCGUGGGGAGCAAACAGGAUUAGAUACCCCAGUAGUC